GGAUUGACUGUGAUAUCAAAAGUAAGCCAAAAGACAUGGCAAGUUGCAUACAGUCUCAAUCAAUCUGUGCUGAAACGCUCUGUGGAUGUCUUUUACAACAUGGUUUGCGUAACACUGAUAAUGUACUUGAUGCGUUCCAGCUUGCGCUGCUAUGUGAUUUCCCUCGGCUUAGCGUCAUAUCUCACCAUAUGAUCAUGAAACACUUCAAGGAGCUUUGUGCUACAGGAGCAUGGAUAUUUAUGCAGAGCCGUCCCUUUCUCGAGAAAAAAAACUUAGAAGGCUCUGUCAUCAUCGAAGAAAGUGGUGCUCACGGGGUUCUUCAAAAGUGGAACAAGAUUGAGGCAAGGCUAAAAGCCACAUCUCAUUUUUAAGAACGAAGUAUUAUAAUCCUGAUAAUGAGAAGAUGGAACCCACUGUUGCUACGAUUCUCAAAGGAAGUGAUAAUUUUUUUGUUUAUGUUCAUUAGUAAGUAUCUGAUAGUAUAUAUUAUAUCCAUAAGAUGUAAAAAGAUUAACCCACUGAUCGACCUAGACUGUUUUGUUUCUUAUUUUCUUAAGGGUCUUCCA